GGACGAACGCUGGCGGCGUGCUUAACACAUGCAAGUCGUACGACAGCAUUUCCUUUAGGUUGUGUUUGGAGUGGCGAACGGGUGAGUAACACGUGAGUGGACCUGCCCUUCACUUUGGGAUAACGUGCGGAAACGUGCGCUAAUACCAAAUAUUCGCAUUUCUGCUGCAUGGUGGGGUGUGGAAAGGGGCCUUCGGGUUCGUGGUGGGGGAGUGGGCGUCGCGGCCUAUCAG
rnacentral:rRNA from 1 species